rnacentral:rRNA from 1 species
AUUGAACGCUGGCGGCAUGCUUUACACAUGCAAGUCGAACGGACGCGCGGGCUUCGGCCUGGCGGCGAGUGGCGAACGGGUGAGUAAUGCAUCGGAACGUGCCCAGUUGUGGGGGAUAGCCCGGCGAAAGCCGGAUUAAUACCGCAUACGACCUGAGGGUGACAGCGGGGGACCGAAAGGCCUCGCGCUCUUGGAGCGGCCGAUGUCGGAUUAGCUAGUUGGUGGGGUAAAGGCUUACCAAGGCGACGAUCCGUAGCUGGUCUGAGAGGCCGACCAGCCACACUGGGACUGAGACACGGCCCAGACUCCUACGGGAGGCAGCAGUGGGGAAUUUUGGACAAUGGGGGCAACCCUGAUCCAGCCAUGCCGCGUGCGGGAAGAAGGCCUUCGGGUUGUAAACCUCUUUUGUUCGGGAAGAAAACCUCUGGGCUAAUACCCCGGGGGGAUGACGGUACCGGAAGAAUAAGCACCGGCUAACUACGUG